GGGGACGACAGGUUUCGACAGCAGGCGGAGGGUCGGGGGGAGCGUGCCGAGGAUGGGGAAGCCUCGUUAAUCCGGCUCCGAAAAAAUAAUUGUCGAAGACAAUUACGCACUCGCUGCUUAAUUAAAAGCAGCGCGCUCUCCGGGGCUUCCGCCGUCGGGUCCCGAUAGAGCGUCACAAAGACGGCUGGGAUUACGGUUCCGCCUUUCGGCCGGCGUCCGAGAUCCAGAGAGGCUAGGGAAAGAGUAUCCUGUCUACGGGAGCCUCCGCCCCGAAUUUUAAAGCAUAGACUACGCACGUAGCGCCCUCCAGAUUGUCCUCUGUUGGACCGGGGUUCGAUUCCCCGCGUCUCCACCA
rnacentral:tmRNA from 2 species